GACUAUCUAUAAGUGUAUGGCCAGUAUUUGGGCAGAUGAAAGGAGUGACUUGGCCAGGAUUCGGCUCCUCUGAGCUAGACGCAGUAUUGAAGUUAAUUUCGCUCCUCAAUGCGGAGCAAAAAUGGGAAGAGAUCAGGUACGCGGAAUUGUUUAUGUUUCUGCUAACACGCCCUGGAUUGAGGGGAGAGAAGAGAAACGAAAGCUCAGAUAGGACAGAAAAAUCGGAAUUGGAGUUGGAAAAAAGGGGAAAAGAUCGAGUUAAAACUACCCCCGUCCCAUGAGUCUUAUUUAAAAACACGGGGAAUGGUGAUUUAAAUGUGUUAAUGUCACCUAAUGAGAGAGCAAACAGCCCGGGAGAGGCUGGAGCUGCAAGAGGAGCGGCUCCUGGACCGGCUCUGGCUGGGCAGGCAGGAGCCAUUGAAGGACCCCCUGGUGCGGAUCUGGCUGCACUGGGAGGGAUUAGGCAAAUUAAAGCCUCUGGAGAAGUUAGCUCGAGUCCAGCAACAGCGAGUCCUGUCGGUUUAGUUGGAGUGUGCACAGAGGUGCAGAUGAGAUCGACCUUUGCUGGAGCUGCUUGCAGCGCGGCAGAGCUGAGCGAGAGUUAUGCAGAUGCUGCGGGGCUGACUAGCCCAGAAAUAACAGGAGUAACAGCAAGAGAAACUCCUGGCCCCACAGGGGCGAUGGUUGUGGGGUCUGCCCUGCCUGUUCCAGCGAGCAGGGAAGCACUCCGUAGCUCUGCAGCAGCUGGCAGUUUUGCCGGGGCAGAUAAAGUUGUCAUAGCAACAGCAGAAGUGAGCUCGAAAGUAGAGAAACAAGUAACAGCUAAAGUUGAUAGCUGUAUUGGUAAUGGAGUAAGAACGGUGAAGGCUGAAAAGUCAGCUUUAAGUAAGAUUGCUUUUGGCGUGGUAAAAUCAGAGAAAGUUAUUGUAGAUGUGGCACCUGUUGCAAAAACAAAAGAGAUUUUAGAAGUCACAGCGAAAGCGCCGCAGUAUUUGCCCAGGGUAGAGACGGCGGCAGGCGUAGGAGUCGCUGAUUUAGACUGUGACAAUGAAGCGAAGGCAUCAAGAAACAGAACUUUAAGAAU
rnacentral:lncRNA from 1 species